rnacentral:rRNA from 1 species
CAAUAGCGUAUAUUAAAGUUGUUGCAGUUAAAAAGCUCGUAGUUGAACUUCAGGCCUGGCUGGGCGGUCUGCCUCGCGGUAUGUACUGUCCGGCCGGGUCUUACCUCUUGGUGAACCGGCAUGCCCUUUACUGGGUGUGUCGGGGAACCAGGACUUUUACCUUGAGAAAAUUAGAGUGUUCAAAGCAGGCCUAUGCCUGAAUACAUUAGCAUGGAAUAAUAAAAUAGGACGUGCGGUUCUAUUUUGUUGGUUUCUAGGAUCGCCGUAAUGAUUAAUAGGGAUAGUUGGGGGCAUUAGUAUUCAGUUGCUAGAGGUGAAAUUCUUGGAUUUACUGAAGACUAACUACUGCGAAAGCAUUUGCCAAGGAUGUUUUCAUUAA